rnacentral:rRNA from 1 species
UACAGAGGUCCCAAGCGUUGUUCGGAUUCAUUGGGCGUAAAGGGCGCGUAGGCGGCAAGGCAAGUCGGGUGUGAAAGCUUGGGGCUUAACCCCGAAAGGGCACUCGAAACUGCGUUGCUAGAGGGCCGGAGAGGAGAUCGGAAUUCACGGUGUAGCAGUGAAAUGCGUAGAGCUCGUGAGGAAGACCGGUGGCGAAGGCGGAUCUCUGGACGGCCCCUGACGCUGAGGCGCGAAGGCUAGGGGAGCAAACGGG